CGAAAGCCUGACGGAGCAAGACCGCGUGAGGGAGGAAGGCCCUUGGGUUGUAAACCUCUUUUCUCAGGGAAGAAGACUGACGGUACCUGAGGAAUCAGCCUCGGCUAACUCCGUGCCAGCAGCCGCGGUAAUACGGAGGAGGCAAGCGUUAUCCGGAAUUAUUGGGCGUAAAGCGUCCGCAGGGGGCGCAUCAAGUCUGCUGUUAAAGGUCGGAGCUAAACUCCGGUAGAGCAGUGGAAACUGAUGCGCUAGAGGGCGACAGGGGUAGAGGGAAUUCCCAGUGUAGCGGUGAGAUGCGUAGAGAUUGGGAAGAACACCGGUGGCGAAAGCGCUCUACUGGGUCGCACCUGACCCUCAGGGACGAAAGCUAAGGGAGCG
rnacentral:rRNA from 1 species